UGGGGAAUUUUGGACAACGGGCGAAAGCCUGAUCCAGCAAUGCCGCGUGUGUGAAGAAGGCCUUCGGGUUGUAAAGCACUUUUGUCCGGAAAGAAAUCCUUGGCUCUAAUACAGUCGGGGGGAUGACGGUACCGGAAGAAUAAGCACCGGCUAACUACGUGCCGGCAGCCGCGGUAAUACGUAGGGUGCAAGCGUUAAUCGGAAUUACCGGGCGUAAAGCGUGCGCAGGCGGUUUGCUAAGACCGAUGUGAAAUCCCCGGGCUCAACCUGGGAACUGCAUUGGUGACUGGCAGGCUAGAGUAUGGCAGAGGGGGGUAGAAUUCCACGUGUAGCAGUGAAAUGCGUAGAGAUGUGGAGGAAUACCGAUGGCGAAGGCAGCCCCCUGGGCCAAUACUGACGCUCAUGCACGAAAGCGUGGGGAGCAAACAGGAUUAGAUACCCUGGUAGUCCACGCCCUAAACGAUGUCAACUAGUUGUUGGGGAUUCAUUUCCUUAGUAACGUAGCUAACGCGUGAAGUUGACCGCCUGGGGAGUACGGUCGCAAGAUUAAAACUCAAAGGAAUUGACGGGGU
rnacentral:rRNA from 1 species